rnacentral:rRNA from 1 species
GACGAACGCUGGCGGCGUGCUUAACACAUGCAAGUCGAACGGAAAGGCCUGCUUUCCCUUGUGGAUUGCGGGUACUCGAGUGGCGAACGGGUGAGUAACACGUGAGUGAUCUGCCCCCAACUUGGGUAUAAGCCUGGGAAACUGGGUCUAAUUCCCGAUAGGACUGCAGGGUGGUGCCUGUGGUGGCAAACGAUUUUCUAGUGGUUGGGGAUGAGCUCGCGGCCUAUCAGCUUGUUGGUGGGGUAAUGGCCUACCAAGGCGGCGACGGGUAGCCGGCCUGAGAGGGUGGACGGCCACAUUGGGACUGAGAUACGGCCCAGACUCCUACGGGAGGCAGCAGUGGGGAAUAUUGCACAAUGGGCGGAAGCCUGAUGCAGCGACGCCGCGUGGGGGAUGACGGCCUUCGGGUUGUAAACUCCUUUCGACCGCGAGGAAGCCACCUGGUUGGAAGGGUGGUGACGGUAGUGGUAGAAGAAGCACCGGCUAACUACGUG